rnacentral:rRNA from 1 species
AUGGCUUCCGGCGGCACAUGGAAGUCCGAGCGUGCGCCGGUGGACAUAUGGGGCGCCUCCCGCAUCGCCGGCACCCGCCAGAACCUGUCCUUCAUCAUCAAGGGACCCGAGGGAGAGGACCUGCGCUCCGGCUACAUCGCCCAGGAGUUUGCGCUCGCCGGCCACGCUGGUCGCCUCGCCGGCGGCGACCAGCUCGUGCUGACCAAGGUGUACUUCACCCGGCGGGGAGAAGAGGCCGUCUCCAAGGCCAAGGAGCGCGUGAUGGCCAAGGCAAAGCGCAAGAAGACGGCCGCCGCCGCCUCCUCCUCCUCCCGGGCGCCUCUUCCGCCCGCAGCCGUCUCCUCCCCUGCUCCCGGCAAGACGCCGGCUCCCGUCGCCGCCUACUCCCCUGCUCCCGGCAAGACGCCGGCUCCCGCUGCCGCCACCUCGCCGGCUCCCCCCAAGAAGGCGGAUGCCCCUUCGUCCUCAUCGCCGGCGCUCAUCGACCAGGCAGUCUCCGACUCGUCCGCGGGAGGAUCCACCUCAUCCACAAGGUUGCUGCUGCUGGAGGUGGGUGACUCCCCAGUAAGCCAAGCCCAGGACUUCUCGAUCCGGCACAUCCUCAGGGCGGCGGAGCUGGUAGGCUCCUCGCUGCCCUUGAACAAAAGGAAGCCUGUCCCAUUUAGUUGUGAUGGCUUGUUCUUGCUCCAGGAAGGGCCCAGGAAGAAGUUUCCAUCAUCUCCAUAG